GUCAGUUCAUAAAAUAACAUCUUGGGGUUUCUCGGUAUGCCGUUCAGGUAAAGAUGCCAUUUGGACCCAGUUCCCCUUCAAAACCGACUCCUAUUCUGAGUGCAAUGGGAAGCAGUAUGUCAAGAGGACGUGGUACCGCAAAUUUGUUGGCAUCCAACUCUGCAACUCCCUACGAUACAAGAUCUACCUGAGCGACUCCCUCAACGGUAAAUUCUACAAUGUUGGAGACCAGACGGGUCAUGGUGAAGACCACUGUCAGUUUGUGGACUCAUUCCUGGAUGGAAGAACGGGCACUCAGCUUCCUGCAGACCAGCUACCAUCCAGGCCAGGCUUCUACAGAGCAAUGA